rnacentral:rRNA from 1 species
AUUGAACGCUGGCAGCAGGCCUUACACAUGCAAGUCGAACGAGUGGCGGACGGGUGAGUAAUGUAUGGGAAACUGCCUGAUGGAGGGGGAUAACUACUGGAAACGGUAGCUAAUACCGCAUACCAUCAGAUGUGCCCAGAUGGGAUUAGCUAGUUGGUGGGGUAACGGCUCACCAAGGCGACGAUCCCUAGCUGGUCUGAGAGGAUGACCAGCCACACUGGAACUGAGCAACGGUCCAGACUCCUACGGGAGGCAGCAGUGGGGAAUAUUGCACAAUGGGGGCAAGCCUGAUGCAGCCAUGCCGCGUGUAUGAAGAAGGCCUUCGGGUUGUAAAGUACUUUCAGCGGGGAAGCGUUACCCGCAGAAGAAGCACCGGCUAACUCCGUGCCAGCAGCCGCGGUAAUAC